UUUUGAAUCUGGCUCAGAUUGAACGCUGGCGGCAGGCUUAACACAUGCAAGUCGAGCGGAGAUGAGGUGCUUGCACCUUAUCUUAGCGGCGGACGGGUGAGUAAUGCUUAGGAAUCUGCCUAUUAGUGGGGGACAACAUUCCGAAAGGAAUGCUAAUACCGCAUACGUCCUACGGGAGAAAGCAGGGGAUCUUCGGACCUUGCGCUAAUAGAUGAGCCUAAGUCGGAUUAGCUAGUUGGUGGGGUAAAGGCCUACCAAGGCGACGAUCUGUAGCGGGUCUGAGAGGAUGAUCCGCCACACUGGGACUGAGACACGGCCCAGACUCCUACGGGAGGCAGCAGUGGGGAAUAUUGGACAAUGGGGGGAACCCUGAUCCAGCCAUGCCGCGUGUGUGAAGAAGGCCUUAUGGUUGUAAAGCACUUUAAGCGAGGAGGAGGCUACUGAGACUAAUACUCUUGGAUAGUGGACGUUACUCGCAGAAUAAGCACCGGCUAACUCUGUGCCAGCAGCCGCGGUAAUACAGAGGGUGCGAGCGUUAAUCGGAUUUACUGGGCGUAAAGCGUGCGUAGGCGGCUUUUUAAGUCGGAUGUGAAAUCCCCGAGCUUAACUUGGGAAUUGCAUUCGAUACUGGGAAGCUAGAGUAUGGGAGAGGAUGGUAGAAUUCCAGGUGUAGCGGUGAAAUGCGUAGAGAUCUGGAGGAAUACCGAUGGCGAAGGCAGCCAUCUGGCCUAAUACUGACGCUGAGGUAC
rnacentral:rRNA from 1 species